rnacentral:piRNA from 1 species
GCUGUUUCUAUUUCUCGGUGCCAAGCAUGU